rnacentral:rRNA from 1 species
CCUACGGGAGGCAGCAGUGGGGAAUAUUGCACAAUGGGGGAAACCCUGAUCCAGCGACGCCGCGUGAGUGAAGAAGUUAUUCGUUACGUAAAGCUCUUUUAUCAGGGAAGAAAAUGGCGGUACUUGAGUAAGAAUCCCCGUCUAACUACGUGCCAGCAGCCGCCGCAAUACGUAGGGGGCCAGCGUUAUCCGGAUUUACUGCGUGGAAAGGGGGCGUAGUAGGUGGGCCAAGUCUGGAGUGAAAUGCCGCAGCUGAACUUGGGAACUGCUUUGGAAACCGGCGGACUAGAGUGCGGGAGGGGAAAGCGGAAUGCGUAGUGUAGCGGUGAAAUGCGUAGAUAUUAGGAGGAACACCGGUGGCGAAGGCGGCUUACGGGACCGUAACUGACGUUGAGGCUCGAAAGCGUGGGGAGCAAACAGGAUUAGAUACCCCUGUAGUC